rnacentral:sRNA from 1 species
CAUAUCUCUCUAACGGGAAGGAUGAGAAGCUUCGACUAAGGUUCGAUUCGAGCGAAAGCGAGAAAGCGUUGCCGCAGGCAACGACCCGAAGGGCGAAGCGCGCAGCGCUGAGUCAUCCUUCCCCCACCACCA